rfam:Branchiostoma floridae genomic scaffold BRAFLscaffold_98, whole genome shotgun sequence.
CUGUGUGAAUGUUGUUCAGCAACAGGGACAGAUGUGUUUGCUUCUGUGUGAAUGUUGUUUAGCACCAGGGACAGAUGUGUUUGCUU